rnacentral:siRNA from 1 species
AGAAGUUUAGGAUCCAAUAGGAU